AGCAAGAAGAGAGAAAAAAUGAAUAAUCAAAACAAUGGCUGAAAUAAAAGCCAAGUGGAUUACUUCUCAUGGAUGCAGAAGAGAUAUGGACUCCUUCCAGUUUUUAGAGACUAAUGGCACAUUUUGGGGUUCAUCAGGUUGCUUUAGGAGGCUCCGCCCCCCAAAUUCAUGGACACGCAUUGCCAAGGCAACAACACUAACAACUGGGCUAGCUGGCCAAAAGAGAAAAAUGGUGGAAUCCAGAGCAUCUGCUUCUAAAGGGGUGUAGCUCCGUUCCUCGUUGGCGAAGAUGUGGAAGAAGGAGAGUAGCUGGCAGUAACAGAGGAAGAGGCAGAGGUUGGAGUGUAACUGAUUCCAGCAGCCUGCCCUGUGCAUUAGCACAGAUGCCCCCUGUUGCGAUUUACUAGAAUCGUGUUUUGUGGCUCACUCUGAACCACUUUGUUUGUUUCCCCAUUUACAGAGCCAGGGAUGUGUACACAUACUCAAUGUUUUUUCAGUGCACACACAGAUCAGAUAGUGAGGAGAUAUUUGCCGAAUUUGACAAAAGGUCUACUGGAUUAGAAUCGCUGACUAUACCUUUAAUGGGGUUUGGCAAAAAUGUGGUUUUGUUACAAAUUAAACUGAUUAAAGUUAAAUUAAAUUUAUAGCCAAGUCCUCAGAGGCAGUCACAAUAAAGAACCCUGAUUGGCAGGCAAUGCCUUCUCCUCCAACUCAAAUGUAGUAAACAUGCUGAAGUUUUUCAGUGUGUGUCAUUUUAGAUGCAAACUGGAAUGAUUAAAAGGACUGUAGUAAUUCUUUGCCUGCAAC